rnacentral:lncRNA from 1 species
GGCAGUCACCUUAUUUUUCUUUGUUUUGUUGAGGAUUUGAGGACCUCUUUUUUUUUUGUUUUUCUUUAUCCCUUAUUUUUCCUGGACCACUUCUUUGAAGCUUUAGGUCCAUCGGGAUGCCCUAACUUUUGCCUAAGUCAUUUUGUGGUAUUUGACUUAGCGGGUUCUUUUCUGUUUUUUUUAAUGUGUUGACUGCCACAUUAUUGGUGGAUGAGGAUCAACCAACACUAAUU